CCGAGAUUGAGCUCUUCGCUGACAAUUGGAAGUGGCUUGUAUCGUUUUGGAUCUGAUGGAUAAAGAAAGGAGCCACACUGCCUCCAGAAGACUGUUCCCUUGGUCAUAAGAGAGAACAUCUGAAGGACCAUUCAAGCAAAAGCAAGAGCUGAACACACAGGAGCUGGUGCCUUAAGGGAGUGGAGGUCAUGAAAAGUCGAUGACAUGGAGGGCCAAGGAGAAGGUAGAUCUCAAGCCCUAAAAUCAUCACAUGUGCAACAUCUCUAGGCCAGGAUUUAUCUAUUCUGUCCAAGAAGAGAAUAAGGAAUGAGAAACUAAACCCUGGUAGGAAAAGGGUCUCAAGGAAGACAAGGCAUGGGGCCAAGGAAGACUGAGGGAGAUGGCGACCUGCUGAGGAGCCAGAGCAGCAGAAUCCCUGGGACUCACAGGUCGAUAUCUGCAUCAAGCAAAAGCCCGGAGAGACGGUCACAUAAUGUAUAUUCUAAAGCCACCACCACAAAACGACCAUGAGGCAGAA